AUUGAACGCUGGCGGCAGGCCUAACACAUGCAAGUCGAGCGGAUGAAGGGAGCUUGCUCCUGGAUUCAGCGGCGGACGGGUGAGUAAUGCCUAGGAAUCUGCCUGGUAGUGGGGGAUAACGUCCGGGAACGGGCGCUAAUACCGCAUACGUCCUGAGGGAGAAAGUGGGGGAUCUUCGGACCUCACGCUAUCAGAUGAGCCUAGGUCGGAUUAGCUAGUUGGUGGGGUAAAGGCCUACCAAGGCGACGAUCCGUAACUGGUCUGAGAGGAUGAUCAGUCACACUGGAACUGAGACACGGUCCAGACUCCUAAGGGAGGCAGCAGUGGGGAAUAUUGGACAAUGGGCGAAAGCAUGAUCCAGCCAUGCCGCGUGUGUGAAGAAGGUCUUCGGAUUGUAAAGCACUUUAAGUUGGGAGGAAGGGCAGUAAGUUAAUACCUUGCUGUUUUGACGUUACCAACAGAAUAAGCACCGGCUAACUUCGUG
rnacentral:rRNA from 1 species